rnacentral:Y_RNA from 1 species
GACUCUCCAAAGGCCGUGAAGCCCAAUACACCGAACACAUAUUACAGUUACCAGGUGUAUUUCCCCCUUCUCACUACCGCACUUGACUAGUCCAAA